GACCUUUGGACAAUCAUCAAAGGAGGUUCAACAAUUUCCACUUAUGGAUUCAGGUUAGCUUCCGCUCAUGUAGUUAUAAUUCCGAAUUGUUCAAUAUGAAGGUUAUUGUAUUUUGUUGGAAUCAUAAUCCUAACAUAAAUGUGAAACACAUAGAUUUAAUUUAAACUUUUUUUGAAUGUCAUUCAGAAAUUAAAUUUCGAAUACUUUCUUAUUAAGGUUGGUGAUGUUGUUGGAGGUUAAGAAUAAAUGGUUAUGUUCUUGCCAUGACCCGGAAUCUUCAUCCUCGAAAUCAUAAUGUCGCCUAACAUCAUACUUGCUAGGCAAGCCACCUUUAGAGAUUUAUUAGCCAAUUCCUUUACGGUUCAAUGUAUAACAAUAAACAAGCUAAAACAAAUCGAAUGAACGCGGAAGUAAAUAACCACUUUGAUUAUAUGCUAUUACUAUCCAGAAUUAGGAGUCACAAUUCAUGAACAUUCUAAUAUUUUACUACAAGUAUUUAUCUGAAAGAAAAUAUAACUAUUUGCGAAAUAAAGGAAGCAAUAAAGGAUGAGGUAUAGAAAGGGACACGAGGGCCUGCUGACGCCGAAUUGUCUACCUUGGGUCACCUAGCUGAUAAAUACUAUAACUAACCUCUUGAUCAGCUCAACCAGCUCCAAAAUCUGCACAGAAAAUGCAGUAUCAGUACAACCGACCACAUGUACUGGUAAGUGCCGAGCCUAACCUUGAUGAGGAGUGACGAGGCUACGGCCAGGCAAUCACAACAUAACCUGCAUACAGUAUAUAAUAAAAGUAUAAAGAAAGACAGGAUAAAAUAGAAUAGAGCAGUGACUUGCAAUAAGUGAAUACAAUUCUCGAAGCAUAUCAUGUGUAUAGCUACUAUCAAUUCUUAGGUGUAAUUUAAGACUACGUACAGCUAACACAAUCAAGGAAAAUUACAAACAUAUAGGUUGUUGCGGCGUGCAACCCGAUCUCACCGUAUAGCUCAUAUUCCUCCCUUAUUAACAUAAACAACAGAAUAUAAGUAAAAGUAUUGCAGCGUGCAACCCAAUCUCACAAUAAUCACAUUCACAUUUCACCCUUAUUACACCACAAUUCACCCUUAUUACACCUCAAAUCACUCUUAUCACACCAAUUGCGGGUCGCUAACCCAAUCCCACCAUAUCAGUAUUAGUAUUUAGUACAUAUAACAAUUUCACGAGUCAAAUCACAUAACUUUUCACAAGGCUUAACUUCUAACCAAACAAUUAGAAAGAUUGUACAUUAUGAAUCUUUACACAAGUAAUACUACUCAGCGAGACUAAUCCAAAAUAUAUCAUAAAAGUACCGAUAACCAGCCUAAUCAAAUAAUAGGAGACAACGAAGUUACAAUAUAACUAAUACACUCAACAAAGAGAAGCAAUAUCUAUUAGUUAGCAAUUAAGUAUGGAAAUACAAGUAAAUCAUGUAGCAGUUUAGGACAGGAAAAGGGAGAAUAUGAGAAGAACGGAAAGAAACAAGCAAAGACAGAUAAAUUGGCGUCGCAUAAGUACUCGUCACCUCACAUAUGCGCCGCUCACAUGGAUUUCAUUUUAGCAAAUAAUUCUAGGGUUCCUAAUGCCUCAAGUCAAAGUUAGACACGAUACUUAUCUCACUCCAAAGGCCACUCAAUGCUCAAAUACUAUUUUUUCUCUAAUAUCUACCUCCAAACCACUCAUGUCUAGCUACAAUUAACUCAAUGACAUUAAUUAUUGCUAAAAGAAUCAACUACAAUGCAUAAAUUUAGAUUUUUCUAACUUUCUCCCAAAAAGUCAAAAACUGACCCGGGCUCGCUUGGUCAAAUCCCGAGGAUCAGACUAAAAUAAAUUUGCCCAUUCACCCUCGAGCCCAGAUAUAUAAUUAGUUUUUGAAUCCGACCUCAAUUUGAGAUCUAAAUCCCCAAAUUUCACAAUCCCUAGUUCCUACAAAAAAAAUUCCUAGUUCCACCAUAAAAAUCUUAGAUUCUAGGUUGAAAUCUUGUAAAAUGAAGUAAAAGAUUGAAAGGAACUAGUUCAAAAUCACUUACCUAUGAUUUGGGGAAGAAAAGUUCUUUGGAAAAUCGCCUCUUUAGGUUUUGAAAAUUUGAAGAAUGGGAGAAAAAUUCCAUUUAAGUCUCUUUUCAUCAGCUGUAGAUGUUGCAAAUGUGAUAUGGUCUUCGUAAAUGCGAAGCAGGAAAAUGCGAAAAAUUCAUCGCAUUUGCGAGGUCCCCCACACUUUUGCUUCCUUCGCAAAUACAAUGAAUUUCUCCCAUUUGCCUGCUGAGCUGACAACAAAUGUGAUCCAAUGAUCGCAAAUGCGAAGACUACCUUCCCUUAUCCCCAUUGCAAAUGCGGAGGAAAGUUCACAAAUACGAACAUAAGGUGGCCUAGCUUUUCUUCGCAUUUGCAAUGAGAAGCUCGCAGAUACGCACUCUAUAGAGAUCGCAAAUGUGAUGAUUGACCUCGCAUGCGAGGUCUGAGGCCUGCAACAAAAUCUAUUGCUCUAGUAAUGUUCUAAGUCCCAUUUUUUCUUCGUAGCUUAUCCGAAACUCACCCGGGCCCUCGGGACUCCAAACGAUAAGUGUUUAAUGGGCGAGCUGGGACGGGCUGUACACAAAAAUAAUUUAGCCCGUACGGUUAUCGUUCCAGGUUGUUAGUAGGCUGAAUUAGCGGGUUGUUAGAGAGUUGUAUUUUUGCGGGUUUUAUUGGGCCCGUAUAAGUUUGGGCUUAAACGGGCCGGACCAGGCUGUGCUAAAUUUUUUUAGAUUAAAUUUUGUUAGAAACGGUACACAAAUCUUAAAAAAAAUAAAAGAAAUAAAAAUUUAACCCAUUAACGGGUUGAACCGGGCUUCAGCCUGUUAACAACCCGUUAACGGGUUAGAGGGCUUAGCGGAUUCUGGCAUCGGUAUCCAAAAUAUAUUCAUCUAAAAUCCGCUCCCCGUCCAACCCAUCCCAACCCGUUCUAAUGCUAUAGUAGCAGGCUGAACCGGGCUGACCUGGGUUGAAGGGAUGAAAACGGGUCAGUCAGGCCCGAUUAACAGGUAUACUCCAAACUAAACAUGCACACAAGUCUUAAAACAUCACACUAACUUGCUCGUGCGAUGAAAUCACCAAAAUAACACCUAGAACUACGAAUUUAACACCAAAUUAAAUGAAAUUCUCAAGAACGCUUUAAAUUUCUAUUUUCUCAACCGAACACCCGAAUCACUUCAAACCUACUCCGUUUCUUCCCAAAUUUCACAAAUAGGUUAUAAAUAUUAUAUUGGACCUAAAGGGCUCCGAAAUUAAAAUACGGAUCUGGUAUCAACAAGGCCAAUCAAUUCUUUAAAACUAUUAGAUUUUCAGACUUUUAAUUUUCAACAAAAAUUCAUAACUCGAGCUACCGACCUCGGAAUUCGAUUUCGAGCAUACGCCCAAGUUUCAUAUUUCAUUACAAUACCAGUGGGACAAUCAAAAUACUGAUCCGGAUCCGUUUACUCAAAAUGUUGACCGAAGUCAACUGAAUUUAACUUUUAAGGCAAAAAUUCUUAUUUUUAUCAACUUUCAGCAUAAAAGUUUUUCGAAAAAUACUUUCGGACUGCCACAUAAAUCGAGAAGGAUAAAAAUGAGAUUUUAAGGCUUAAGAAUACAUAAUCGAAUUCUAAAAUAUAAAAUGAUCUUUUGGGUCAUCACAGUUCUUUUGCAACUUACAAAUAUGUUUUUCUUCUAUAAAUUUUGUAUGACCAAAAUGGCUUUUUAACAAUUCAAUUCCAAUUUCAUUCAUUAGAUAUAACAUGUGACAAGUUGCUAUUUUGAUUAUGACUUGAAAUUUGAAUGAUAUCUUCUAUAGCUAACCAUGAUAAAUGCUUUAUUGUGUGGGGUUUGAUUGCUUUAAAGCAGUAGAAUCAAAGUGCUCAUAAACAAGAAUCGGCAAAUGAUUUUUUUAUAUAUUUAUUUCUAUAAGAAAACGGGUUACUUUUGCAUAAAGUCAUUAAAUUUUUAGCCCGCAUCUGAAACUAUUUACAUAUGAUAGCCAUAAAAAUAUAUAAAAUUUGUACAUUUAUUAUAUAUACUUCAUCCGUUCAAUUUUUCUUGGUGCAUUUUGACUUUUCACGCUCCAUAAGAAAUAACAAAUAAAGUACAUAAUUUACCAUGAGGCACAUAUUAAUUGAUGCAUAUUUUUUGGAUUUGAGAAAAUAAUUUAAAAUGAGUAAUAAAUAUUGUGGGUAUAACAUGAAAUUUCUUUGGUCUUCUUGAUGGUGUAAAGUGUCAACUAAAAAUAAAAAUCUAUUUUUACUAUACAUGCCAUGUAAAAGUGAACAGGGGGAGUAACAUAAAAAAAAUUGUAUAUGUACAAAAAUUUAUAUUUUUUACCUGUUUUCUUAGAGCGGCUACAACUAGAAGUCGAUCUGGUACCUUCCUCAGGGUACUCAACAACUAGAGUC
rnacentral:lncRNA from 1 species